rnacentral:rRNA from 1 species
UACGUAGGGCGCAAGCGUUGUCCGGAAUUAUUGGGCGUAAAGAGCUCGUAGGCGGUCUGUCGCGUCUGUUGUGAAAACUCGAGGCUCAACCUCGGGCUUGCAGUGGAUACGGGCAGACUAGAGUGCGGUAGGGGAGACUGGAAUUCCUGGUGUAGCGGUGGAAUGCGCAGAUAUCAGGAGGAACACCGAUGGCGAAGGCAGGUCUCUGGGCCGCAACUGACGCUGAGGAGCGAAAGCAUGGGGGAGCGAACAGG